UACAGAGGUCUCGAGCGUUAGGCGGAAUCACUGGGCUUAAAGCGUGUGUAGGUGGAUCGUUAAGUACCUUGUGAAAUCCCACGGCUCAACCUGGGAACUGCAUUUGUGACUGUAGAGCUGGAGUGCGGCAGAGGGGGAUGGAAUUCCGCGUGUAGCAGUGAAAUGCGUAGAUAUGCGGAGGAACACCGAUGGCGAAGGCAAUCCCCUGGGCCUGCACUGACGCUCAUGCACGAAAGCGUGGGGAGCAAACAGG
rnacentral:rRNA from 1 species